AAUUCAACAAAACUGCCAAAUGUGUUUACACAAAUGUACUUUUCCUUGUAAAUUUGAGUUAACUUAAAUAGUUUUCCUCUCUUUUCCGUAGCUGUAGGACCUAUACAAACUAUGUUCUUAUACUGAAAUCGUUUCUUCCAUAGAUAGAUAAUUUACCAUUUUAAUAACUCGGUGACAUGUUUACCAUAAGCCAAGAGUUAUCGUCCCCA
rnacentral:lncRNA from 1 species